rnacentral:rRNA from 1 species
CCUACGGGAGGCAGCAGUAGGGAAUAUUGCUCAAUGGGGGAAACCCUGAAGCAGCAACGCCGCGUGGAGGAUGAAGGUUUUCGGAUUGUAAACUCCUUUUGUUAGAGAAGAUAAUGACGGUAUCUAACGAAUAAGCACCGGCUAACUCCGUGCCAGCAGCCGCGGUAAUACGGAGGGUGCAAGCGUUACUCGGAAUCACUGGGGGUAAAGAGCGCGUAGGCGGGAUAGCAAGUCAGAUGUGAAAUCCUAGGGCUUAACCAUAGAACUGCAUUUGAAACUGUUAUUCUAGAGUAUGGGAGAGGUAGGUGGAAUUCUUGGUGUAGGGGUAAAAUCCGUAGAGAUCAAGAGGAAUACUCAUUGCGAAGGCGACCUGCUAGAACAUAACUGACGCUGAUGCGCGAAAGCGUGGGGAGCAAACAGGAUUAGAUACCCGUGUAGUC